AGCGCAGGCGGUUCCUUAAGUCUGAUGUGAAAGCCCACGGCUCAACCGUGGAAGGUCAUUGGAAACUGGGGAACUUGAGUGCAGAAGAGGAGAGUGGAAUUCCAUGUGUAGCGGUGAAAUGCGUAGAUAUAUGGAGGAACACCAGUGGCGAAGGCGACUCUCUGGUCUGUAACUGACGCUGAGGCUCGAAAGUGUGGUAGCAAACA
rnacentral:rRNA from 1 species